rnacentral:rRNA from 1 species
GAAAUUCCAAUCGAACUCGGAGAUAGCUGGUUCUCCCCGAAAUAGCUUUAGGGCUAGCGUUAUGUUAGAUUACCGGAGGUAAAGCACUGAAUGGUAGCGGGGCCGAUAAGGUUACCAACGCCUAUCAAACUAAGAAUGCCGGCUAAUUGAUGCAUAGCAGUCAGACAGUGUGAGAUAAGUUUCAUUGUCAAAAGGGAAACAGCCCAGACCUACAGCUAAGGUCCCAAAUGUAUGCUAAGUGGAAAACGAUGUGGAGUUGCGAAAACAACCAGGAUGUUGGCUUAGAAGCAGCCACUCAUUAAAAGAGUGCGUAAUAGCUCACUGGUCGAGUGACUCUGCGCGGAAAAUAUAACGGGGCUAAGCGUAACACCGAAGCUUGGGCUGCACAGCAAUGUGCGGGGUAGGGGAGCGUCGAAUAUGGGGUGAAGUCGCAGCGGAAGCAGCGGUGGACUGUAUUCGAGUGAGAAUGCCGGAAUGAGUAGCGAGAAUUAUGUGGGAAUCAUAAUGGCCGAAAAUCUAAGGUUUCUUGGGGAAGGUUCGUCCGCCCAAGGUAAGCCGGGAGCUAAGGCGAGGCCGAAAGGCGUAGUCGAUGCACAUACGGUAGAAAUUCCGUAGCCACCGAACUUUAAGUCAGAGGGACACUUUUGGAUAGCGGAACCCGGGCGUUGGUUGACCCGGGCGAAAGGGAGCGAAAAUAUAGUAGCGAAGUCCGCGAUGCUGAGAGGCGAGAAAAGCUCUGAUGGAUACUAAGGUGCCCGUACCGCAAACCGACACAGGUAGAUGAGGAGAGAAUCCUAAGGCCAACGGGAGAAGGGUUGUUAAGGAACUCGGCAAGUUGACCCCGUAACUUCGGGAGAAGGGGUGCUCAUGAAAGUGAGCCGCAGAGAAUAGGCCCAAGCAACUGUUUAGCAAAAACACAGGUCUGUGCUAAAUCGAAAGAUGACGUAUACGGGCUGACACCUGCCCGGUGCUGGAAGGUUAAGGGGAUGUGUGCAAGCACUGAACCGAAGCCCCAGUAAACGGCGGCCGUAACUAUAACGGUCCUAAGGUAGCGAAAUUCCUUGUCAGGUAAGUUCUGACCCGCACGAAUGGCGUAACGACUUGGGCGCUGUCUCAACAGCCCACCCGGCGAAAUUGUUGUACUGGUGAAGAAGCCAGUUACCCGCAACUAGACGGAAAGACCCCAUGGAGCUUUACUGCAGCUUAAUACUGGAAAUCGGUAAAUCAUGUACAGGAUAGGUGGGAGACUUGGAAGCCAGGGCGUCAGCUUUGGUGGAGUCACCCUUGGGAUACCACCCUUGAUUUGCUGGUUUUCUAACCUGCGGCCGUGAAUCCGGUCGGGGGACACUGUUAGGCGGGCAGUUUGACUGGGGCGGUCGCCUCCUAAAGAGUAACGGAGGCGCUCAAAGGUUGGCUCAGCACGGACGGAAAUCGUGCAGUGAGUGUAAACGUAGAAGCCAGCCUAACUGCGAGACCGACGGGUCGAGCAGUAACGAAAGUUGGAGUUAGUGAUCCGGCGGUAUGUGAGUGGAAAUGCCGUCGCUCAACGGAUAAAAGCUACCCUGGGGAUAACAGGCUGAUCUCCCCCAAGCGUCCACAGCGACGGGGAGGUUUGGCACCUCGAUGUCGGCUCGUCACAUCCUGGGGCUGUAUUCGGUCCCAAGGGUUCGGCUGUUCGCCGAUUAAAGUGGCACGCGAGCUGGGUUCAGAACGUCGUGAGACAGUUCGGUCCCUAUCUGUUGCGGGCGUAAGAGAUUUGAAGGGAGCUGUCCUUAGUACGAGAGGACCGGGAUGGACGUACCUCUGGUGCACCAGUUGUCCUGCCAAGGGCAUAGCUGGGUAGCUA